rnacentral:rRNA from 1 species
CCUACGGGAGGCAGCAGUAGGGAAUAUUGCUCAAUGGGGGAAACCCUGAAGCAGCAACGCCGCGUGGAGGAUGAAGGUUUUCGGAGUGUAAACUCCUUUUGUUAGAGAAGAGAAUGACGGUAUCUAACGAAUAAGCACCGGCUAACUCCGUGCCAGCAGCCGCGGUAAUACGGAGGGUGCAAGCGUUACUCGGAAUCACUGGGCGUAAAGAGCGCGUAGGCGGGAUAGCAAGUCAGAUGUGAAAUCCUAUGGCUUAACCAUAGAACUGCAUUUGAAACUGUUAUUCUAGAGUAUGGGAGAGGUAGGUGGAAUUCUUGGUGUAGAGGUAAAAUCCGUAGAGAUCAAGAGGAAUACUCAUUGCGAAGGCGACCUGCUAGAACAUAACUGACGCUGAUGCGCGAAAGCGUGGGGAGCAAACAGGAUUAGAUACCCGGGUAGUC